rnacentral:rRNA from 1 species
AUUGAACGCUGGCGGCAUGCUUGACACAUGCAGGUCGAACGGUAACAGGGUGCUUGCACCGCUGACGAGUGGCGAACGGGUGAGUAAUGCGUCGGAGCGUGCCGAGUAGUGGGGGAUAACGCAGCGAAAGUUGUGCUAAUACCGCAUACGUACUGAGGUAGAAAGUGGGGGACCUUCGGGCCUCACGCUAUUCGAGCGGCCGACGUCUGAUUAGCUAGUAGGUGAGGUAAAGGCUCACCUAGGCGACGAUCAGUAGCGGGUCUGAGAGGAUGAUCCGCCACACUGGGACUGAGACACGGCCCAGACUCCUACGGGAGGCAGCAGUGGGGAAUUUUGGACAAUGGGCGAAAGCCUGAUCCAGCCAUGCCGCGUGUCUGAAGAAGGCCUUCGGGUUGUAAAGGACUUUUGUCAGGGAGGAAAUCCCUAGCGUUAAUACCGCUGGGGGAUGACAGUACCUGAAGAAUAAGCACCGGCUAACUACGCGCCAGCCGCCGCAGUAAAAC